rnacentral:rRNA from 1 species
GAUGAACGCUGGCGGCGUGCUUAACACAUGCAAGUCGAACGAUGAAGCCCAGCUUGCUGGGUGGAUUAGUGGCGAACGGGUGAGUAACACGUGAGUAACCUGCCCUUAACUCUGGGAUAAGCCUGGGAAACUGGGUCUAAUACCGGAUAGGAGCGUCCACCGCAUGGUGGGUGUUGGAAAGAUUUAUCGGUUUUGGAUGGACUCGCGGCCUAUCAGCUUGUUGGUGAGGUAAUGGCUCACCAAGGCGACGACGGGUAGCCGGCCUGAGAGGGUGACCGGCCACACUGGGACUGAGACACGGCCCAGACUCCUACGGGAGGCAGCAGUGGGGAAUAUUGCACAAUGGGCGCAAGCCUGAUGCAGCGACGCCGCGUGAGGGAUGACGGCCUUCGGGUUGUAAACCUCUUUCAGUAGGGAAGAAGCGAAAGUGACGGUAC